CGGGAAACUGGGGAUAAUACCCUAUAGACUAUGGAUGCUGGAAUGCUAUGUAGCCGAAAGGUCCGCCGCUGUAGGAUGGGUCUGCGGCCGAUUAGGUUGUUGUUGGGGUAACGGCCCAACAAGCCUGUAAUCGGUACGGGUUGUGGGAGCAAGAGCCCGGAGAUGGAUCCUGAGACACGAAUCCAGGCCCUACGGGGCGCACCAGGCGCAAAACCUUUACAAUCCGGGAAACCGGAAAAGGGGACCCUGAGUGCCCGUAAAAUCGGGCUGUCCAUCAGUUUAAAUAACUGGUGAAGAAAGGGCCGGGCAAGACCGGUGCCAGCCGCCGCGGUAACA
rnacentral:rRNA from 1 species